rnacentral:piRNA from 1 species
UCAUCCCUACAGUGAUGGGAGAUUGUAUGU